rnacentral:rRNA from 1 species
UGGGGAAUAUUGCACAAUGGAGGGAACUCUGAUGCAGCGACGCCGCGUGAACGAAGAAGGCUUUCGAGUCGUAAAGUUCUUUUAUAUGGGAAGAUAAUGACGGUACCAUAAGAAAAAGCCCCGGCUAACUACGUGCCAGCAGCCGCGGUAAUACGUAGGUCCCGAGCGUUGUCCGGAUUUAUUGGGCGUAAAGCGAGCGCAGGCGGUCAAUUAAGUCUGAUGUGAAAGCCCCCGGCUCAACCGGGGAGGGUCAUUGGAAACUGGUUGACUUGAGUGCAGAAGAGGAGAGUGGAAUUCCAUGUGUAGCGGUGAAAUCCGUAGAUAUAUGAAGGAACACCAGUGGCGGAGGCGACUCUCUGGUAUGUAACUGACGCUGAGGCUCGAAAGCGUGGGUAGCAAACAGG